rnacentral:rRNA from 1 species
GAUGAAUGAGAGUGGCGCACGGGUGCGUAACGCGUAUGCAACCUACCUGUUACAGGGAGAUAGCCCGGGGAAACUCGGAUUAAUAUUCCAUAGUAUAUAAUCGUUGCAUGGUGAUUAUAUUAAAGCCUUCGGGUGGUAACAGAUGGGCAUGCGUAGGAUUAGCUAGUUGGCGAGGUAACGGCUCACCAAGGCGACGAUCCUUAGGGGUUCUGAGAGGAAGGUCCCCCACACUGGCACUGAGAUACGGGCCAGACUCCUACGGGAGGCAGCAGUAGGGAAUAUUGGUCAAUGGGCGAGAGCCUGAACCAGCCAUGCCGCGUGCAGGAAGACGGCGUUCUGCGUUGUAAACUGCUUUUAUCUGGGAAGAAAAAGCCCUUGCGAGGGAAAUUGCCGGUACCAGAAGAAUAAGCACCGGCUAACUCCGUGCCAGCAGCCGCGGUAAUACGGAGGGUGCAAGCGUUGUCCGGAUUUAUUGGGUUUAAAGGGUGCGUAGGCGGCUGAUUAAGUCAGCGGUGAAAGUUCUCGGCUCAACCGAGAGACUGCCGUUGAUACUGGUUAGCUUGAGUUAUGGAGGGGUACAUGGAAUUUAUGGUGUAGCGGUGAAAUGCAUAGAUACCAUAAGGAACACCGAUAGCGAAGGCAUUGUACUGGCCAUAAAC